CCUACGGGAGGCAGCAGUGGGGAAUAUUGCACAAUGGGCGAAAGCCUGAUGCAGCAACGCCGCGUGAACGAUGAAGGCCUUCGGGUCGUAAAGCUCUGUCCUCAAGGAAAUUAAUGACGGUACUUGAGGAGGAAGCCCCGGCUAUCUACGUGCCAGCAGCCGCGGUACUAGGUCGGGGGCUGGCGUAAUCCGGAAUUACUGGGCGUUAAGGGGGCGUAGGUGGUUUCUUAGGUCAGAGGUGAACGGCUAGGGCGCAACCGUAGUAAGCCUUGGAAACUGGGGAACUUGAGUGCAGGGGAGGAGAGCGGAAUUCGUGGUGUAGCGGUGAAAUGCGUAGAUAUUAGGAGGAACACCAGUUGCGAAGGCGGCUUUCUGGACCGUAACUGACACUGAGGCACGAAAGCGUGGGGAGCAAACAGGAUUAGAUACCCGUGUAGUC
rnacentral:rRNA from 1 species